UUUCCGACUUUUAAUUUGAAAAUAAUAUCAACUUUGGAAGUUCGAUCAAGCAUGAAAUUUGUCGCAGCAUGUGCCUUUGCUGCAUAACAGCGCCCAUUUGGAGUUGGGGUAUGUGCAUAAGUCAAUUGAGUGAGUGAGGGCGGCUGACUACUUCUUGGAGUGGCGGUGGAGCGCGACAAAACGGAGAUAGUAAUAAAAAAGUAUCGAAAUGUCACAAAAACGCACAUUUCCACUUCGACGCCAAAAUUAGGGCGUAAUUUAAUUGUCGACUGGUUGACAGUUGUUUCCAAUGAACCAGCACGGAGGCACAAAGAAACUUACUGGCCAUAGGCCUCACUGACUGACUGCCUGAAUACAUGCUGCAUUCCCUAGUUACUCGCAUUGAAAGGUGAAUUAUGUUUAUGACGCUUGCUCUGCCUGGGAAAUCAAACGCAGCAGGAAUUGAAAUUCAUUUCAUUGGUCUCUGCAACUUUUAAAUUUGUUAAUCAAUUAAAUUUGUUGACAACUAUGGGUUUUCGUUUUUUUCUUUGUGUGUGUUGCCUUUCAAAUUGAACUAAUUUUCCUCCUCCACCCACUUUUCCACAGUCGUCAACAGAUGUUGUUUGGAGCGGUUCUUUGGGCGUUUUGUGCCUUUUUUUGAAUUGUUGACUGGAUACAUUUUCAUGGCGUUUUGACAUUUUUCGUGUGGCAUCCAUAGCAAGAGACAGAGCGUUUGGCUUGCCAUUGACAGCUAGUAUUUAGAACCUAAAAUUUAUGUGUGACAUGUUUUGGUGCGUUUUUUAGGCCGAUGGUUUAUUGAAAACUACUCCAUUGAUCAAGGCA